CCUACGGGUGGCAGCAGUGAGGAAUAUUGGUCAAUGGGCGCGAGCCUGAACCAGCCAAGUCGCGUGAGGCAAGACGGUCCUAUGGAUUGUAAACCUCUUUUGUCGGGGAGCAAAAGACGCCACGCGUGGCGUUCCGAGAGUACCCGAAGAACAAGCAUCGGCUAACUCCGUGCCAGCAGCCGCGGUAAGACGGAGGAUGCGAGCGUUAUCCGGAUUUGUGGGGUUUAAAGGGUGGGCAGGCGGAGGGUCAAGUCAGCGGGAAAAUUGAGAGGCUCAACCUCGUCGAGCCGUUGAAACUGGUUAGCUUGAGUGAGCGAGAGGUAUGCGGAAUGCGUGGUGUAGCGGUGAAAUGCAUAGAUAUCACGCAGAAUUCCGAUUGCGAAGGCAGCAUACCGGCGAUAAACUGACGCUCAUGCACGAAAGUGUGGGUAUCGAACAGGAUUAGAUACCCCUGUAGUC
rnacentral:rRNA from 1 species